AGAGUUUGAUCAUGGCUCAGGAUGAACGCUGGCGGCGUGCCUAACACAUGCAAGUCGAGCGAUUCUCUUCGGAGAAGAGCGGCGGACGGGUGAGUAACGCGUGGGUAACCUGCCCUGUACACACGGAUAACAUACCGAAAGGUAUGCUAAUACGAGAUAAUAUACUUUUAUCGCAUGGUAGAAGUAUCAAAGCUCCGGCGGUACAGGAUGGACCCGCGUCUGAUUAGCUAGUUGGUAAGGUAACGGCUUACCAAGGCGACGAUCAGUAGCCGACCUGAGAGGGUGAUCGGCCACAUUGGAACUGAGACACGGUCCAAACUCCUACGGGAGGCAGCAGUGGGGAAUAUUGCACAAUGGGCGAAAGCCUGAUGCAGCAACGCCGCGUGAGCGAUGAAGGCCUUCGGGUCGUAAAGCUCUGCCCUCAAGGAAGAUAAUGACGGUACUUGAGGAGGAAGCCCCGGCUAACUACGUGCCAGCAGCCGCGGUAAUACGUAGGGGGCUAGCGUUAUCCGGAAUUACUGGGCGUAAAGGGUGCGUAGGUGGUUUCUUAAGUCAGAGGUGAAAGGCUACGGCUCAACCGUAGUAAGCCUUUGAAACUGGGAAACUUGAGUGCAGGAGAGGAGAGUGGAAUUCCUAGUGUAGCGGUGAAAUGCGUAGAUAUUAGGAGGAACACCAGUUGCGAAGGCGGCUCUCUGGACUGUAACUGACACUGAGGCACGAAAGCGUGGGGAGCAAACAGGAUUAGAUACCCUGGUAGUCCACGCCGUAAACGAUGAGUACUAGCUGUCGGAGGUUACCCCCUUCGGUGGCGCAGCUAACGCAUUAAGUACUCCGCCUGGGAAGUACGCUCGCAAGAGUGAAACCCAAAGGAAUUGACGGGGACCCGCACAAGUAGCGGAGCAUGUGGUUUAAUUCGAAGCAACGCGAAGAACCUUACCUAAGCUUGACAUCCUUUUGACCGAUGCCUAAUCGCAUCUUUCCCUUCGGGGACAGAAGUGACAGGUGGUGCAUGGUUGUCGUCAGCUCGUGUCGUGAGAUGUUGGGUUAAGUCCCGCAACGAGCGCAACCCUUGCCUUUAGUUGCCAGCAUUAAGUUGGGCACUCUAGAGGGACUGCCAGGGAUAACCUGGAGGAAGGUGGGGAUGACGUCAAAUCAUCAUGCCCCUUAUGCUUAGGGCUACACACGUGCUACAAUGGGUGGUACAGAGGGCAGCCAAGUCGUGAGGCGGAGCUAAUCCCUUAAAGCCAUUCUCAGUUCGGAUUGUAGGCUGAAACUCGCCUACAUGAAGCUGGAGUUACUAGUAAUCGCAGAUCAGAAUGCUGCGGUGAAUGCGUUCCCGGGUCUUGUACACACCGCCCGUCACACCACGGGAGUUGGGGGCGCCCGAAGCCGGAUUGCUAACCUUUUGGAAGCGUCCGUCGAAGGUGAAAUCAAUAACUGGGGUGAAGUCGUAACAAGGUA
rnacentral:rRNA from 1 species